GACGUAGGGUGCAAGCGUUGUCCGGAUUUAUUGGGCGUAAAGAGCUCGUAGGCGGCUUGUUGCGUCGACUGUGAAAACCCGCGGCUUAACCGCGGGCUUGCAGUUGAUACGGGCAGGCUAGAGUUCGGUAGGGGGAGACUGGAAUUCCUGGUGUAGCGGUGAAAUGCGCAGAUAUCAGGAGGAACACCGGUGGCGAAGGCGGGUCUCUGGGCCGAUACUGACGCUGAGGAGCGAAAGCGUGGGAAGCGAACAGG
rnacentral:rRNA from 1 species